UACGUAGGGUGCAAGCGUUGUCCGGAAUUAUUGGGCGUAAAGGGUGCGUAGGCGGCGCGGUAAGUCGGGUGUGAAAUCUCGGGGCUUAACUCCGAAACUGCAUUCGAUACUGCCGUGCUUGAGGACUGGAAAGGAGACUGGAAUUUACGGUGUAGCGGUGAAAUGCGUAGAUAUCGUAAGGAAGACCAGUGGCGAAGGCGGGUCUCUGGACAGUUCCUGACGCUGAGGCACGAAGGUCAGGGGAGCAAACGGG
rnacentral:rRNA from 1 species